CAUUCCGAACACGGAAGUUAAGCUCUUCAGCGCCGAUGGUACUGCAUGGGCAACUAUGUGGGAGAGUAGGUCGCCGCCAAUU
rnacentral:rRNA from 1 species